rnacentral:rRNA from 1 species
UAUACCUACGGGACGCAGCAGUGGGGAAUAUUGCACAAUGGGCGCAAGCCUGAUGCAGCGACGCCGCGUGCGGGAUGGAGGCCUUCGGGUUGUAAACCGCUUUUGUUCAAGGGCAAGGCACGGUCUUUGGCCGUGUUGAGUGGAUUGUUCGAAUAAGCACCGGCUAACUACGUGCCAGCAGCCGCGGUAAUACGGAGGUUGCAAGCGUUAUCCGGAUUUAUUGGGCGAAAAGGGCUCGUAGGCGGUACGUCGCGUCCGGUGUGA